GGGGAAUAUUGGACAAUGGGCGCAAGCCUGAUCCAGCCAUGCCGCGUGAGUGAUGAAGGCCCUAGGGUUGUAAAGCUCUUUCAACGGUGAAGAUAAUGACGGUAACCGUAGAAGAAGCCCCGGCUAACUUCGUGCCAGCAGCCGCGGUAAUACGAAGGGGGCUAGCGUUGUUCGGAAUUACUGGGCGUAAAGCGCACGUAGGCGGAUAUUUAAGUUAGGGGUGAAAUCCCGGGGCUCAACCCCGGAACUGCCUUUAAUACUGGGUAUCUUGAGUUCGAGAGAGGUGAGUGGAAUUCCGAGUGUAGAGGUGAAAUUCGUAGAUAUUCGGAGGAACACCAGUGGCGAAGGCGGCUCACUGGCUCGAUACUGACGCUGAGGUGCGAAAGCGUGGGGAGCAAAC
rnacentral:rRNA from 1 species